rnacentral:rRNA from 1 species
GAUGAACGCUGGCGGCGUGCCUAAUACAUGCAAGUCGAGCGAACAGACGAGGAGCUUGCUCCUCUGACGUUAGCGGCGGACGGGUGAGUAACACGUGGAUAACCUACCUAUAAGACUGGGAUAACUUCGGGAAACCGGAGCUAAUACCGGAUAAUAUAUUGAACCGCAUGGUUCAAUAGUGAAAGACGGUUUUGCUGUCACUUAUAGAUGGAUCCGCGCCGCAUUAGCUAGUUGGUAAGGUAACGGCUUACCAAGGCGACGAUGCGUAGCCGACCUGAGAGGGUGAUCGGCCACACUGGAACUGAGACACGGUCCAGACUCCUACGGGAGGCAGCAGUAGGGAAUCUUCCGCAAUGGGCGAAAGCCUGACGGAGCAACGCCGCGUGAUUGAUGAAGGUCUUCGGAUCGUAAAACUCUGUUAUUAGGGAAGAACAAAUGUGUAAGUAACUAUGCACGUCUUGACGGUACCUAAUCAGAAAGCCACGGCUAACUACGUG